rnacentral:tRNA from 1 species
GACCCAGUGGUCUAGUGGUUAUGAUUUCUGUCUUACACACAGACGGUCUCCGGUUCGAACCCGGGCUGAGUCA